UGUUUAUCAAUUUUUUAUCUUUCCAAUUUUAUGAUAUUAUUAUCAUGUUUAUUUUUUACCAUGAAGCGUAGCGAUCGAUCGAAGACGGCCCAUUCCGUAGUGAAACGGCGGAGGGCCUGUCAACUGCCUGGAAACUGCUCCGAAGACUAAUAAAAAAGAUUGGCUCCCAGAUCUUUCUCGUCCUUUUUUCUGCUGUUGACAAACAUUCGUGGAAUGGCCAAAUUUUCCCAGACGGUAAAGGGAAACGACAAGGCAUCGUUUUCGUCGUAAAAUUUUAAG
rnacentral:ribozyme from 12 species